CCUGCCCCUAGAGGCAUUCCAAGUGUGACUGCUGUGUCACCCAUGCAUUAGUAGUCACAGAGAGGAGAGAGCCUAUGUCUACACUCAGUGUUCUGACCUAUGAACAUCUGAAUUAUUAGCAGCCUAUCAUU